rnacentral:rRNA from 1 species
UCGAGAAUAGUCUACAAUGGUCGAAAGACUGAUAGUGCGACGCCGCGUGAACGAAGAAGCCCUUCGGGGUGUAAAGUUCUUUUAUAUGUGAGCAAUGCCAGAUAGGUGAAUAGUCUGUUUGGAGCGAUAUUAGCAUAUGAAAAAGCAACGGCUAACUCCGUGCCAGCAGCCGCGGUAACAUGGGGGUUGCAAGCGUUGUCCGGACGUACUCGGCGUAAAGGGCAGGUAGGCGGAUCUAUAAGUUGAAGGUUAAA